AUUAGGAGCUUGUUCAAGAGCUCCAUCGGAGAUGCUCACAUUUCAACUCACUCCACAGUCCACACACUCAGACACUCUCUUAAAUUUCAUCUCACCAUCUCUCUCGAGCAUUCAUCUCAUCACUCGCUCAUUACUCUCAAAUUUCAAUCGCCGAGUCUUCCUUCAGAUCUCAAUUAAUUGAAACUUCAACUCUCAAUUGGGGCUUUCGCUCUCGAUCGGUUCUUAUCGGAUUAUAGUUGCAAUUAGGUCCUCAAUCGGGUCUUAAUUCCCUCUUCACUGUUCUCAACCGGAUCUUGAAUUUCACGCCUUCGUGUCUACUUGCUGAAUCGAGUUUCUUCACUAAACUCCUCUCUGUAAUCAAAUAGACUAGAGACUCUCGGUUAGAGGGGCACAAGGUGGCUUAGUUCACUCGAGAUCAGUUGUUGCAGCUUAGGGAGGGUCCUUCUAAUACAGAACAUUUCUUGCUUUUUCUGCCUACUCCGAGACAGUUGAAUUCAGAGAUAGAAGAGCACAACAAAGCUAGAGAAAGUGAGGUCCCGCUUGUUCAAGAAGAGACAUUGUUUCAGGAUAAAAGUCACGUCCUACGCAUAACUUAUCUGGAGCUGCUAAUAGUUGUGUUCCUGGAAAAAAAGCUUCUCAUUCGGGUGAAAAUAAUGAUACCAAUAUCAUUCAGGUUUUCACGAGACGAACUGAUUUAUGCAUAUCAACACCGGUUCAUGAGAUACCAGCCCAUCCAGUGGAAUCUGAAUAUAGAAAAUAUGUGUAGAGUAUCAUGAUAUCAGUGAGGUUGAUUUAUUUGGCUAUAUAUUUACAUAUUUAUGGUCAAUUUGUUAUUAAUAUUAUCUGAUGGAUUUUGUGUUGCUCUUUCCUGUGCAGUUAUUUAUAUAAAUCUUGCCAAUGUAAAUUUCUUAGUAUACGUAUGUUGUUCCUGAUACUGUCAGCCAAGACCCCCCAAAGCUGCAACAUGAAAUUAACUGUUGCAUACUCAAUAUAUGCUAAUAAUAAUGGUACACCUGUGCAUGAUGUUGUCGGUGGUUAAUUUCGAUUGUUUCGAGUUCCAAAUGUUAAAGUUUUUAAUCCUCUGUUCAUUAUUAAUCCCGAAGUCAUUAUUGAUGUGUGACUCAUUAUAAAGCGCAAAGAUCGUGGACCAAGUAAUAAAAAUCAACUUGAGAAACUUGCAUCUGCUUAUGAUUCUGUAGUAAAAGUUUUAUAGUUACAUAUGUUGGUACACCAUCCUGAUUACUAGAUGACACAUUUUUCUAUUCCAGGUACGUGUUCUAUUAAUCAUGUUCUAUCAAUCAGGAUGGCGAUACAGCUCGGUGCAUUGGUAUAACAGUUUGGUGAUAAAUAUUAUAUCUCCAUAAUUAAUGAGUUGCUCUUUUCUCAUGUUCCCUUUGCUCCUGAGUUGCUCUUUCUCAUGCCAUAUGUGAGUUGCUCUUUGCUUACAUUAUAUGCUAUUGCACUGAUAACCCUCCUCACCAGGUUGAUCUCUCUCAUAAAGUGUUUGUAGAGUUUCACAAUAGUGAAGAAUAGUUAUCGAGUUUGGUAUGCUUGGGAGGACAGUCUCCUUGAUAUAUAAUUCAGUCCGGGGACCGGGGUAUCAGGUUCUUAUAUGAAAAACCUUGAGUUAUUUCCAAGAAAAGAGCAGCACAAUGUAGCAUAACGACAUUUGAUAGAUUUAUAUCAAUGUUUACUCCAUAACAAAAUUUAGCAGCCAACUCAAAUGCCUCUGCUCCACCGGGAACUAUGCUUCAGUGAUCAUAAUUCAGAUUUUGGUUCAUUGUCUUUCCAAAGUUUUGUUGUCACUGAUGGCAUAUAGUAUAUACCUUUAAUAUUGCGAGAAAGAACUAUUUCUAUUUUGCGCUAUUUUGGUUAAUACUUUUAUGCGUAUCCAUAUUGUCACAACCUAAAAUAGAUGAAAGGGCCCUGAUGAAAACCAAGCAUCAGGAAAAAACAGAAUCUGUAGGGAUUACGGACGAUUUAAAGCACUAUUGAAGAUAGAGCUAAGAUGCAAAGUUGAUUUGGUAAUUCAAAUAUAUAUUAUAUAGACUAAUUGCCUGUGAUGUUAGGUAUCAACUGAAACUUUGGUCAGACAACACCAUCUUUAGAACAUUCUGGUGAGUGUUUUAGAUCCUUUUCAGUUUGAUAAAAUGUACUAACAUUGGGCUAAACAAGAUUAUUCCAAUUCUAAAAUUUCAGUUACUCAGACAUUCAAAAUUUGAAUCCUUGGAUUCUCAACUUUCUUUUCUCAAUUUAAGUUUCUAUUAUUAAUCUCUACUCAAUCGAUAUUCAUUGGUGUUUGUUUAAGAAUUUUUAUUAUUAUUAAGAAGUUUCAUUUGGUUGGAGUAUUCAGGUUUUACAGGUUUUGAAACAAGAAGUCAUUCAAUUUAUUCUUUUUUUGAGCUAGCUUUUCUUUUUUUUUUUUAUAUGUAUUCCUUAAAAGAUUUAGAUCACAAUCUAAUAACAAUAUGCAAUAAAAAAACGAUUAUUGGAUGUGUACAAAUAAGCUAGCAAUUGUCUUUAUAAGGAACUUAACAAGUCAAUUGGUUUUCGCCAAGUUUAAUUUUUGACUUUUUGUCAAGCUCAUUCUGGGAAAAACAGAGGAAGUAUUAUUUGAAUUGUUAACAGAAAGGGUGGUGGUCUCAUUGGAGUCUCUCCACAUUAUAUCAACGCGCGGUGAAACAAGAGAGUCAAGCUUUUUCCUGCUCUUAUCAAUUGGUUUUCCUUUUACCUCUUACAAAAAAGUUGGCAGAAUGAGCAACCAAUAUCCAGUACAGCUCCAGACUUGCGGUUGUUUAAAAAGUCGAUGUGAGUUGACCAAAUUUUGUCAAUUGGUUGUCUUACCUUGAUUCUUAACUUAAUGUGAGUUGACCAGAUUUGGUUGAUAAGUAUUCAAUGAAGAUUUUGUGUAUCAUACCAUGCGGGCCUAAGUAAUCUAGGAACACGUGGAAGUGGAGACUAAUUUUGAGUUUAUAAGAGCAUUCACAUUCCGUUAUCUAUCCCCUCUCCAAAAUCGUACUAAAAAUAGUAAUUUUUAAAAUUAUUUUCAAAAUUUAUCUAUCUUCUAAAAUUUACUACGUCCCAAUCCCCUCUCCAUCUCUAUAUUAUUUUUUAUUACUUGUUUCUCUUAAUUCCUUUCAUAACUAUAACUACUAAUAUUAUUUUAUCAUUUCUCACUCCUCAUUCAUAUAAAAGUAUUAUUAGAAUAAUAAAUAGGGGAUGAAUAGUAAGAGCAUCUCUAGCAGUAUCCCAACCAGAUUCCCUACAUAUAUGAUAAACAAUUCAAAUUCUAAAAAAUAGGGAUCCUAUAUUGAUUGAUAACUCCAACAGUGAUCCCUAUUUGUGUUCUCUAUUAUUAUUAUUAUUAUUAUUAUAGUAUUAAAUUCAAAAUUUUUUUAACAAAAAAAUAAUAAGAAAAAUAUGGGAAAGAGCGUCCAAAAAGUGCAAGUUAGGGGUUACCUAUUUAUGAGAAAUGAAAAGUAGAUCUUAAAGUUUAGGGAAUGAGUAGAGAUUGUGCUGGAGUGAAUUUUUGUCCAUAUUCCUUAAAUUUUUAGCUUAAGACAUGGUAUAGGUAAUAUGUUUGAGAUGCUCUAAGCCCCCAAAUUUGGAGACUCAUUUUCUUGUCCCUAAAAAUUUCCCCAAAAUAGGGAACGGGAUAGAGUGUUACUUUCUGAUUAAAAUUCAUUUUUUCCUCAAAAUAUAGGGAUGAGAGUAUGAAUGAGGACUCUAAUGUAUGCUCUAAGAGAAAGUCAUGUCCUAAUGUCUAUGCCAAAUCGCUAUAGUCGUUGCUAUAUUUUAGAUCGGAAAAUGAUAUUUGGUGUUAAAAUAGAAUUUGUGCCUUAAUGCUAAUGCUAAAAUGCUUAUAGCUAAUAUUAUCCAGGUUUCAAUUCACCAACCCAAUAUCUUUUCAUCUUCUUUUCGAGAUUUUAUGUUAUAAGAUGCUGUGAUAAGGAUGACUACCCAUCUUUUAUUCUUAAUUUAGAACCAAUUGUCCAACUUUUUUUUUUUCCUAAUUUCAUCUGUAUUAGUAUUAUCACCAUUGGGCUUCUGAAGUUUUAAGCUUCAAGUCGGUGAUUGAUAUGCUUUUCUCUAUCUUUGGCAGUAUUCCCAAUUAUUGUCUGAGGCAUCGCGAGCAGCGAAUGCUUGUGAGUUGUGAAUCAGGUCAUCAUUUAAUGGUGACAUCAUUGAAUUUGCAUCAGACCGUCAUAAAUCCAUUUGCUCGUCCUACUGACGAUAUAAUUAUUGUGGCCAACAACAUAUCGGUUCAUGACAUCAAGAGAGAUUCUCUAGCUGGUAGUAAUUUACUAGACUAUAAUUAAUGUUUUGUACUCUCUCCGUCCUCUUUAAAAUGUCUCUGUUUUGACUUUUGACCAGUCAAAUUGAUUAUAUUUAGACUGAAAUUUUACAUAUAUCAUAUAAUUCAAAAAUAAUAAAAAUUAUAUCAUUAUAAAGUAUAUUUAGUGUAUUUUAAUAUGCAACUUUCAGAUUUCAAAAAUAAUGAAGAGAUAAUUUGUAAUGUUUAAUUAAAAUUUAGUCAAUUUAACUGGUCAAAAGUUAAAUAAGGACAUAUAAAAGGGGACGGAGAAGUAAUUGACAAUAUUUUUAAGUGAUCAAAAGAAUGGGAGUAUGUUGCAUAAGUGUGUCCUAAACUAAUAUCAGUAUGAUAAUACAUAUAUUUUUUGAACUUAUCUUGUUCGAACAGAACAUUCCUUUAGUAUUUUGUCACUAUCGCAUUGUAAUAUUAUCUUGCAUGAUGCAUGUGCUUGUUCGGGAAAAAACAUGAUUUUAUUAUUGAAUUAGUUUAUCAAUCCGAGAGAUUGUUUUGUUUGUAAGAUAUGUAUUUAAAUCCUUCGCCACUUGUUUAUAUGAGUAUUUUGAAUCUUGGCCUGCGACAUAUUAAACCUUAACUUUCAUAUUUGAAUCUGUUUAUACUGGAUUCAUCUACAAGAAACUUUGCUGUAUAUCCGAGGAAGUGAUUCCAUUGCUUCGAUUAAUAUUUGUUUGUAUUAUUUACCAAAUUAAACCCCCGUCUUGGAUAGUAACUGUGGCUGAUUUUUAUUGAUCUUUGAAACGAAUGGAGUAAUUAUAGAUAAUACGAUUAGUAUAUUUUGUUCAUUUAUUAUCUCUUAAUUGAACAAUAACAUCGACAUUAUUACAUAAUCACAAGUUCAAAAUAAAAAUACUGCAUCAAAUUAAUACUUUAUAAAUAACAUUAUGUGUGCAACUCGGUACUGUUAAUUAUGAUUAAAAAUUAUAAUUUAUAUUAAAAUAAAAAUUGAUUUUGAAAAAAUUAAGAUCAGAUUUAUAAUUAAAAGGAUAAUAUAUAGAAUUUUAAAUCAUAAUUGACCUUAUAUGACCUUAUUAAUAAAAGUUAUAGAUUGCAAUGGCUUGUCGCAUUUUAUGACCUUAACAUCUGGGCCGUUUGGCUAAAUUUAAAAGAAGUGAUUUAUUACUUAAAAUAAAAAAUGGAUUAUAAGUGAGAAGUUGAUUUGGAUUUAUAAGUUGUUAGAAAUGUUUGGAUAUAAUGACUUAUAAGUUUAAAAUUAAUUAAAACAAGAAAAAGUUGUGGUGAAUCAUAAAAAAUUAGGUUCCAUAGCUUAUUUUUUUGAGUUUUUAAUACCCAUGAUAAGUACUUAAAUUUAUUUUCCAAACAAGCUAAUAAAAUGAUAAAAACCUGGCUCAUUUGAUAUAAUAAAAGGCCUUAAAAGUUAAAGUUACUUUAUGUCUUCGAAAUCAGAAAGAGAGAUGGAAAGUUCAAUUAUUUGUACUUUGUAAUCAGAAGGCCUUGUGCGUUUGGUACUUUGGUUGCAGAAGGCUGGUGCAGAAAAGAUGUCAUUGGUUACUUUUAUUAUUGAUCAGAGGCAAGAGGCAACGUAUUUCAACGUUUCUCAGUUAUGAGUUCAGUACAUGUGAUAGACUGAUAGUGACAAGUCACGAGAGUAAACAAAUCUUAUUUUUAAUCGUUUGAUUCACUUGUAAUUAAUUGUUUUAUCACGUACAAAAUUUACAUGCAGUUAGAGCUGUAUUUGGGGCGGUGCGAUUUUCGAGCUGACCCACUUCGAACUCAUUUAAAUGAAUUCGACUCGUAAAACGAAUAGAGUUCUGGCAUAUAUUCUGAGUCAUGCAUGUAAUUUAACGAGAUACUUUGCUUUGAAUCGUAGAAUUAAAUUAGUCAAGUUCGGGUAGAUAUUCAAUCAGGCUCAACUAAAUGUAAAAUUAAACGAGCUGAGUCUCCGGACUCGUUAACAGACUCUUUUAGUUGUGAGCUGGCUCAACUUGUGAAAUUAAAUGAGUCGAGUUUAGGUGAAAAUUUAGGCUCGGUUAAUUGAACGAGUCGAGUCGGAUCGAUUAAACUCGGUUCAAAUUAUGCUUGGCUAUAUUUAUUUUCAUUUCAUGAUCCUUAAACUAUUACUCAUAAAAUAAUACUCCCUCCGUCCCCCUCAAUUGUUUACAUUGGAGGGGGACACGGAGACCAAGACAAUGUAUGAAAAAUGAGUAAAGUUAGAUGAAAAGUGAGUAAAGUGGUGGGACCUAUCAAUAUUUAAUACUAAUAGAUUUGAGAUAGUGGAGGAAAGUAGUGGGUGUAAUAGUAGUUUUUAUUGUUAAAUACUCCCUCCGUCCCCUGAGUUAUACACAUUGGGGGACGGGGACGCGGCACGAACUUUAAUGCUCCCGUAAAGUAUAGUUCUAUAAACUUAUUUUUAAGAUUUUUCUUUUCUGUAUAAAAGUUUGAAUGUUAUAUUUUUAUUGAGGAAAAGAAAAUUUUAAAAAUAAGUUAUAGAACUAUGUUUUAUAAGAGCAUUGAAGUGCGUGUCGAACAGUGAAAAAGAAAUGUAUAGAAUUAAAUGGGACAGAGGGAGUAUAAGAUAGUAGGGGAAGAUAGUGGGUGUAGUGAUGAGAAAAACUUACUAUUUAUAGUAACGUAAAGAAAUGAGAGGGACAUCCCAAAAUAGUAACCGUAAAAAAAUGAAAAGGACAGAGGGAGUACAGUAGUAAUAAGUGAGGAUCCGUGCUACAUAAGUUUAUCAACUUUGCCUGCAUGCAGCCCUUUAUCGGUUAUCACUAGUCACAAUUCACAGGUUAUAUACAGUAGUACAUGGCAUGCGCAAAGUUCAUGGGGCCGUUACAAUUCACAGGUUACUAAUGUUAUCAGAGGUUAUAUGCAUGCGCCAAGUUUAUGACUUUAUGGGGCCGUUACCAUUCCCAGGUUACUAAUGUUAUACUAUAGUACAUGGCAUGGACCAUUCCCAGGUUACUAAUCUUAUAUUUAUAUAAAGGAGGUUCUUGGGAGGGUGACGUGGCAUGCCUCGCAAGCCUUCUUUCAAGUUCCGUAAUUUUCUAAAUUUUUGCAUUUUAAUAAUUAUUUUUCCUAUAACUGAAAAAUAAAAAAAGAUUAAUGAAAGGGUAAACGACCGCUUUUACAUUUACCUUCUUUAAUUUUGCCUCUUCAUAUCAAAACCCCAGAUGAAUCUGGAGAGAAUCAAAAGGUAAUCAGCAAUCAGCAAAAUCCCAUAAUCUAAAACCACAGUUGAUCAGGAGGAAAUCAAGAAAAUUUCAGAAGCCUAAACCCGAAAACAAGAACUCCAAGAAGCAGUGAUGGUUGGUUAUGAAGGUGUACAUAGUGAAGUUGAUGCAGUUCAAGAAAUUCCAACCGGAGAAACUCAAGCCAAAGGAGAAGAUAAUGUUGAUGAUCUUCUCUUACAGAUGAGGCAGACUAAGAUCAAAGGAAAGCGAUGUGUUCCUCUGCCUUCUGUGUCUUCAGGGUCUGAUGUACCAAGCAUUCAGGAAGGCGUGUCUCGUGCAGAAGAGGGUAGUUGUGAACAAGGGGAAAAGAGUGUGUAUCCUUCAGGUAUUGAUUUCCAACACUUACUGGUGCUUCAGGAUUUCCCUCUUUUUUCUUUUAAUGGUGUUGAUUUUAAUAACCUGAAUCUGCCACUUAAGCCUGCAUUCCAAGUUCAAUCAUUUUAUGGUCUUGAGUAGGAGUCCUUGGCAGCAGAAACCGCUGCAUAGGAUGAAUUCUAUGCCAUCAAGUUUGUAGUGAUGAGAUUUGUUGGAUUCUUCGUCAAGCUCAUCUUCAUCCGACCAAGUACAAGAAGCUUGGAGCAGAGAAAGGAAGAAACCCAUAGCGUGAAGAUUUUGCUAAACCUGGCUGCGAAUAUAGCUUUUUUUGACUGUCAAGAAUGACAUGGGAACGAGAUCAACAAUCUGGUGUUCAUUAGGAAGUUGAUGGACAUUGCAAAGAUACUAUCUAAUGGAAGCUGUGCAUAUGAGGAAGCUAGCAAGUAGUAAUCGAUGAUCAGGAAUAAGGGGAGAUAUUUCACAGUUUAGUGUCUGCCAUGAUCAAGCUAUAAACAUGCAUAUAGGUAUUACAAGAUAUAGAUAAUUUUCACUUAUACAAGCGUUUAUCGAUAAAGAUGUACUCUGUCCAUUACAAGAUAUUGAAAUACCACUUCCCCACUUUCGAUGAGAGUACGACAAGGUAAUAAGCUACUGAUAAGUUUACUUGUGUGUUUUAUGACUUUAUCUCAGUAAUCUAUAGAUCUUGUGGUUUAAACACUAAGACUGAUCUUUUCAUUACAUGGGAAUUUUAAUCAUUGGAGGCCAUUGUUUCUUCACUUCAAUACAUACUUUAAAGCAUAUAUUUCAGGUAGAAAUGACCUUCUUUUGGCAGAUGAACUUUUAGAAGGCGGGGCCCAUUUCCGGGAUAAGACUGUGUUUUGCUUCUGCUAUACCUUAAGGGGGUGUCCAAGUUGAUUAAUAUAUAGUCAUAGAAUUGUUGCUAAUUCUUAUUUUUAUACAUUUUUUACAGUUCUGGAUAAACUGAAGGAUUUCUUACCAGUCAUGUCUGCAGCAAAUAAAAAAUCGCAGCUUGCUGCCAUGGACAAUACGAAGGUAUUUGAUAUUGAAUCACUUGAGGACGAUGUUUCAUCAUAUAUUGAAAUGGAAAGUAUAAAGUUUUUUCAUAUUCUAUCUUUCUGAAGUUUACCUAUCAUAUAACGUAUAAGUUAUGGGUGAAAUUAUAUAGGAUCUGAUGCUGGAUGUUGCUGACCUCAAUAACCCUGAAGCUAUUGUUGCGGCCAGAGUCUGCAAUUAAUUGGAAUCAACCAGUUUCUUCCUCUACGGCUACAAGUGAGUCAACAGCAGUGACGAAGAUGAAAUAGAUGACAAUUGCAGUGAGAGCACCUCAGAUGCUGAGGAGCACAAGGAGCAGCGUGGCUCUAAUAAAGAAAAGAUGCCAGGAGUCUAAAAUUCCCUCCUGUAAAUAUAAAAAGAGUCAAGUCUAUUAGCAAGAAACUAUACGGAAAAAUGAGAACAGAACAACCAAAGAUUGUGGAGCUUUGAUGAUACCUCAGCAACAUGAAAGCUGAGUUACAAACUCUUAAGUUGCAUCUUUCAGGAUUAUGUCACAUGAUGCUGGUGCAAUCAAGCUAGAAAAAGGUUUGCAACCGGGUUUUAGCGACAUUGAGGUGAAUCUAUUUCAUGUUAUCCUGAAUAACCCACCCUAUUGAUUUUCAGUAAUUUGCCAAAGAAAGCAACAGUUAUCAUAUAGUCAAGAUUUUGCUUUGGACAUUUGAGAUGUGGUCAUUAAGAAUUUUAUUUUUUGUUGCCAAUGUUAUAUAUUUAUUAAUAUUA